GAUGAACGCUGACAGAAUGCUUAACACAUGCCAGUCAACUUGAAUUUGGGUUUUUAACUUAGGUUUGGGUGGCGGACGGGUGAGUAACGCGUAAAGAACUUGCCUCACAGCUAGGGACAACAUUUGGAAACGAAUGCUAAUACCUAAUAUUAUGAUAAUAGGGCAUCCUAUAAUUAUGAAAGCUAUAAGCGCUGUGAGAGAGCUUUGCGUCCCAUUAGCUAGUUGGAGAGGUAACGGCUCACCAAGGCGAUGAUGGGUAGCCGGCCUGAGAGGGUGAUCGGCCACAAGGGGACUGAGACACGGCCCUUACUCCUACGGGAGGCAGCAGUGGAGAAUAUUGGACAAUGGACCAAGAGUCUGAUCCAGCAAUUCUGUGUGCACGAUGAAGUUUUUCGGAAUGUAAAGUGCUUUCAGUUGGGAAGAAAGAAAUGACGGUACCAACAGAAGAAGUGACGGCUAAAUACGUG
rnacentral:rRNA from 1 species